AAUGUUACUCUGUUAACAAAACUGACGUAGUAGCCGCUUGCUGUUUCUAUUUUUUUUUUUUUUUCUGUUCAAUAGUCUCCUCAGAAGUUGUUGUGGACAUGUUGUGUAUCUUUUCUGUUCUUCCAGGAUUCAUUUGUCAGGAAAGACGACCAUGAAAUCCGGUGGCUGUGGACAACCAUCUACCAGGUGGUUGUUGCAGAUGCUUUUGGUCACCUUCAUUCGUCUUAGAUUGCCUUUUCCUAUAUCCUGAGUUGAAUUUUUGUGCAGUGCUAUGUUUGCAAUGAUGAAAAGCUCUUUGCAAAGAGAUGGAGAAGGAAUUAAUUAUACCUCUGCCUCAUCCUGUGAGACCAGAAGACAUGGAGUAAAUGGAAAUUGUGAUUCUCAGGAGACCGCAGUUCGCAUUGCUUCCGUUAUUGAGAAAAUGGUUUGGGAAGAUGUGUCUGCUGUUUCUCGGGAUUUUCUGCCACUGCCUGCUGGCAGAAAAAAUCAGUAA
rnacentral:lncRNA from 1 species